UUGUUCAGCAGUGGCUUGACAAGAGGAAUACGACAUCUGAAGCCCAUGUCCAGGAUCCGUCUGUGUGUGCUGGCUCUUGAUGCACUAACCCCAGCCUCAGUCCACGCCUUGUGAAAGUCCCCAACACUUUUGACUAUUCCCUUCCACAUACCUUUCUAAUAAUCUGCUUUGAUACAGCACUUUGGGAACUUCUAACUUCCUUCGCAAUUACCUUUU